UCCGGUUUGUCACCGGCAGUCUCUCUAGAGUGCCCUUUCGUAGCAACUAGAGACAAGGGUUGCGCUCGUUGCGGGACUUAACCCAACAUCUCACGACACGAGCUGACGACAGCCAUGCAGCACCUGUGUUAGCGUUCCCUUUCGGGCACCCUCACAUCUCUGCGAGGUUCGCUACAAGUCAAGGGUAGGUAAGGUUUUUCGCGUUGCAUCGAAUUAAGCCACAUGCUCCGCCGCUUGUGCGGGUCCCCGUCAAUUCCUUUGAGUUUUAGCCUUGCGGCCGUACUCCCCAGGCGGAGUGCUUAAUGCGUUAGCUGCGGCACCGAAGGAGUCGCUCCCCCCAGCACCUAGUGCCCAUCGUUUACGGCGUGGACUAC
rnacentral:misc_RNA from 1 species